GAUGAACGCUGGCGGCGUGCCUAAUACAUGCAAGUCGAGCGAACGGACGAGAAGCUUGCUUCUCUGAUGUUAGCGGCGGACGGGUGAGUAACACGUGGAUAACCUACCUAUAAGACUGGGAUAACUUCGGGAAACCGGAGCUAAUACCGGAUAAUAUUUUGAACCGCAUGGUUCAAAAGUGAAAUACGGUGUUGCUGUCACUUAUAGAUGGAUCUGCGCUGCAUUAGCUGGUUGUUAAGGUAACGGCUUACCAAGGCGACGAUGCAUAGCCGACGUGAGAGGCUGGUCGCCGACCUUGGAGGGGGACCGGGGACCAUGCUCCUGAGGGACGCAGCAGAAGGCUACCGUACGCAAUGGGCGAGAACCUUGCAGAACGGCGCGACGCGAGAUGUGGAGGUCUUCCGAUCGUAAAGACCUGUUAUGGGUUGAAAACAUAUUUGUAAGUAACUGAACAGAGAUUGACGGUACUUAGUCAAAAAGCACCGGCUAACUACGUG
rnacentral:rRNA from 1 species